CCUACGGGGGGCAGCAGUGGGGAAUAUUGGACAAUGGGCGGAAGCCUGAUCCAGCAACGCCGCGUGAGGGAUGACGGCCUUCGGGUUGUAAACCUCUUUCAGCUCCGACGAAGCCUUUGGGUGACGGUAGGGGCAGAAGAAGGACCGGCCAACUACGUGCCAGCAGCCGCGGUAAUACGUAGGGUCCGAGCGUUGUCCGGAAUUAUUGGGCGUAAAGGGCUCGUAGGCGGUUUGUCGCGUCGGGAGUGAAAACACGGGGCUUAACUUCGUGCUUGCUUUCGAUACGGGCAGACUGGAGGCAUGCAGGGGAGAACGGAAUUCCUGGUGUAGCGGUGAAAUGCGCAGAUAUCAGGAGGAACACCGGUGGCGAAGGCGGUUCUCUGGGCAUGUCCUGACGCUGAGGAGCGAAAGUGUGGGGAGCGAACAGGAUUAGAUACCCU
rnacentral:rRNA from 1 species